UCAUCUCCACCAUCGCCGGGAUGGCCUACUUCAUCGUCGCCGACAAGACCAUCCUAUCCAUGGCCAGGAAGCACUCCUUCGACGACGCGCCGGACCACCUCAAGAACACCUCCUUCAACUAAUUAGACUACAAUAGUAGAUCCAUUAGUAGUGCGCAGCGACGGCCUGAAAGAUAGUAUAAUGUUCAGCACCUAUCUGAUAUCAGGCCAAGUUCGCAGACAGUGAGUGGUGUAGUACUGCGCUUCUCUGCCGCUCUGCGUGCAAGCACUUGUCUGAUGAUGUAUCCAGCCAGUAAUCUUGAAUUAAUAAUAACCUGCAUCUGUACAACUCAGUUCACCUGCCAUCACCCAUCUUACAUUUUCUUGUUGGUGGUUAUCGUCUGAAAUGUGCCACUGGCAGAGCAAUACCCAACAUCGCGCAUGCGGGAUCCCCGGAGAGGGCUGCCAGAGGUUAGUAAUGAACAAGAUGACAUGGGAUGAAUCAAAAACUCCAUCAAUCAGAUUCAGUAUAAAAUAUUGAAAUUACUACUCCAUCAAUCAAAUUCAGUAAUGAACAGAAACUGUAAGCAGGAGGAAGUGGAGCAAAUGUCACCUGCGAUUUAUCCUUAUAUCAAACUGUGAAUUUUUAAUCUCAAACUCUGGUGGUCGCACAAGCCAAAAUAUGUAGCUCUCCUUAUGCGUUACCAUCAUGAGGAGAAUAAGAGAAACCACCAAUACCUGUCAGAGUUAGAGUAAAGUUAAUUCUUGGUUUGAUUGAUUUACUUUUCUAGAUGAGACAUAGUUAAUUCUUGUUUGGACGAGAGCUAGCUGCAAUGGAUUGUCGCUUAAUAUUAUCUCUAAAAGUUAACAUUUGUAUGCUGUUACAACUAUGGAAUGAUUAAAUUAAAGCUAUAUUCUGUAAUUGCAUAGUAUUCAUUCGUUCGGAAAUACUUGACGUUGAUUUAGUACAGGUUGUGCAAGAUUACCUAUGAAUUUUAAACUCCUAUUCCAAAAAUAGUAAAUCUACUUCGUCGAUGCUACUCCCUCUGUCCCGAAUUAAUUGUUCUAAAACGGAUAUAAAUGGAUGUAUAUGUAUCUAGAUACAUCCAUUUAUACGACAAAAAAUUCAAAACGAUGGGAGUAUUACUUAAGGAAAGCUACUCUCUCUCUCUCUCUCUCUCUUACAAAAUCAAGAAACUCUAUUGUCCCAAAAAUAUAUUUUCCAUAAAAAAACACUUGCUCUUCACAAUUACUCCCUCCGUCCCAUAAUAUAAGAACGUUUUUUAGAAUUUUCGUCAAAAAGAACCACCUGCCCAGUGAAAUUGUCAAAAAAGACCGCCUACGAGCGAAAAUGUCAAAAAGGACCACCUGCACCGUGGCGGCAGGUGCGCCAGCCGACACGUGGCACCUGCCGCCACGGGAUCUGGCGGCAGCACCUGCCGCAACUGGCUCGACCGGCAGCCUCAGCUGCACAGAAUUUCGGUCGAUGGCACACACAAGAACGGAACGGGCUGGCGAUGUGGCACCUGCCGCCACGCUCCCUGGCGGCAGCUUGUGCUGCUUUUCACGCCAAACGGCACGUCCGUUGGUUCUUAGUGUGGCAGACGCAUUGCUGGCCGUGGUGCCUCUGUCGUUUUGUUUUCUGUGCACCCAUCUCUCUCUCGUUGCCCUGUGCUAUGUGGAGUCAUCUGGAUUAAUCCUAAAUACAGGACUGACCGACUGAGGUGUUUAGUCUAACUCAAUCAACAGAAAAGGCAUCUGGCCAGUGCAUCUCGACUAGCAAAGCGUCUGCCACCUAUGGCCCAACAGAAAAGCAGCACAGGCUGCUGCCAGAGAGCGGGGCGGCAGGUGCCAUGUCGCCAGCCCGUUCCGUUUUCGCAUGCGUCGUCGGUCAAAAUUCUGUGCAGCUGAGGCUGCCGCCUAAGCCGGUGGCGGCAGGUGCUGCCGCCGGAUCCUGUGGCGGCAGGUGCCACGUGUCGGCUGGCGCACCUGCCGCCACGGUGUAGGUGGUCUUUUUUGACAUUUUUGUCCAUGGGUGGUCUUUUUUGACAUUUUCACUGGUCAAGGGGUCCUUUUUGUCAAAAAUUCCGUUUUUUACACUAGUGUAGUGUCAAAAACACUCUUAUAUUAUGGGACGGAGAGAGUACAUCUAAGUUACCUCAAGACGGCAUCACAAAAUACAAUAAACAAGAUGUUUCGCAUAUAGAUUUUUAAAAAUAAAUAAAUAAACCUACCAUACACGCAACUACACCCACGUGGAAAAACCAAAAACACAAAAAUGCUUUCUCCACCUCACAACUAGAGUGGAAGAAAACACCUUCUCUCUUGACAUAUGACCAUGCGACAAUCAUCACCCCACCUAUGAAUAUCAUCAUCAAAAUGUAUACUCGACACGGCAAAAAUAUAUAUAUGACCCACCGGGGUAGAUGGUAUGACAUUUUGGAACAAGUAUUAGCAAAACCUGUUUUAAGAGGAUUUUUAGGAAAACUAGUUCUAAAUUGUUGCUAUGUUAAAGCUGAUUUAUAGGAUACCUUGUUUGGACUUGAAAAGUUCAGAUAGUACUGAUGUAAAUCGAUUUUCGUCUCUGAGUUCCUUUCGUCCGUGAUCUCUCUUCCUCGACGAGCACACAUGCAUGCACGUGAACUCCAUGGUACUAAAAUGCGGCAAGCACGGUGAUGCUCUUGAGCACGCGUUAUCUCUUUUAUGGUGUGGCUGCAAUAGCAUUAGCAACACAUACAGCGAGGGCUCGCCAAAGGCGGAUGUGGCGACGGCGACCAUGGGCAAGGCCCGGCAGCGGUGGCCAUGGAGAGGGUUGACGACCAUGGCCGAGGGCCUGCAGUGCGGAGGGCAGAAGCGGCAACAGCGACUAUGGCCGAGGGCCGGCAGCGACGGAGAGCGGAAGAGGCAACAACGACUAUAAGUACUGCCCAAAUCGUCUAACACCACAGUCGGCUCUCACGGCGUCUCAGGCCGUCACGUACACACAAUAAAUAUCCCCUGAACCACCACAGCUAAUACUGCAUACGUCCCACAUCCCGAGCCAAACGAACGCACGACGAUACAGAGAGUGCGCGAGCUCGUCCACGCCAAGCAAUCUUCGUUAGCAAUAUAAGUUAAUUUAUUCGGAAGCAGCGAUUCGGUGCCCAACCUCUUCUACAGCCGCAAUGAAUAAAGAAUACAAAACAAAUAGUAGAAAAUUCAAAAAAUCUAUUUUUUUUUAUUUUUGCAUCGUGGAUAAUUUGGUAUUGUAAAUUUAGGCUCUGUAAAAAGUUUACCGUUUAUGUAUUUGUUCUGACCCAUUUUCCUUUUUUGCUGAUAGCUACUCAUAAGGCCAAAUAGUAUGAAAUUUGGGGAGCACCGCACACACCAAAUUAUGUACCAUGAUUUUUUUGGGGGAUUUUUAUGGUUUUUUCUUGACCGGGUGCACGUGAUUCUUGGCUCACAAAUCGAUAUUUGAAUUUAUCCCGGCUUUUCUCUCUUUUCCUUGGCGGGCUGGUGGCGAAGUGUCCACAGGGGUAAACCGAAUAGUACUAGCACUAGCAGUCUUUUUUUUUGAGAAAAGAAAACCACUAGCAGUCUCGCGGCGAAAAGUAGCGAACCUCUCGCGGAGUUUGCCGGGUUGGCGGAAAACUGGGAGCGCCAAAACGGAGGGCACACUGCACUCGCCCACAUGCUCUUCUUGGUGUAGUGUUAUCCUACGCACGCUCCCUGCCUCCUCUUAUCCAGUUGCAGUGGAGUGCAGUGCACGUGAGAUGGCUUUUAUACUGUGACCAACGAGCGGCGCCACCUGUGCUCUGCCCGCCCGCCGGUAUAGCCAGCUCGCCUGAACCACCGCCCAGAAGGCCAAAACCACGGUCUCGCUUGCCCUCCCACCGUAUCAAAUCGUCUUCUUGCGCGCACGCCGGUUGCCGGUUUCCUGCAACCUAUAUAAAUCCGGCCAGACCACAUUUCCUAUCCAUCUCACUCACACUGUCACACUGUCUCACUACUACUGCUGAUACUUCACUGCUACUACCAGUUCACUUCCUUGGGAUCUCGGCCAACAUGUCGACGGUGACCCGCGCCUACCUCGACCAGAGGCUCGCCGCCGCCAACCGCUGCUCCAGAGGUACUAACCAACGACGACUGGUUCCGGCCUCAGCCCAGCACUGCUCGUAUAUCCAAUUCAUUGCAGCUUAUGUGUCUGCUGAAACUGAUCUUGAUUAACAUUCCUAUGUUGAUCCGAAACUGCAGAGGCUGCCAUGGCCGGAGCCAAGGCCGCGGCAGUCGCCGCCGUCGCUGCCGCAGUCCCCACCGUAAGUACACGUUUCUCGGCUGGCGCCGCUAUCUUGCAAGCAUCCCCAAGAUACAACAAUCAUGCAUCUCACUGUCUUCUUCCCCCGUGCCUUUCUCUGCAGCUAGCGAGCGUGAGGAUGCUGCCGUGGGCGAGGGCGCACCUCAACCCGACCGGGCAGGCGCUCAUCAUCUCCACCGUCGCCGGGAUGGCCUACUUCAUCGUCGCCGACAAGACCAUCCUCUCCAUGGCCAGAAAGCACUCCUUCGAGGACGCGCCGGACCACCUCAAGAACACCUCCUUCAACUAAUUAGGCUAUAAUCUGCACGCCGGCCUGGAAGUAUUAUAAUGUUCAGCACUUAUUCGAGAUCAGGCGAGCCUUGCAGACAGUCAGUGGUGUAGUAUUGCGCUUCGCUGCGUGCAACUUAUCUGAUGAAGUAAUCAUCAUGUAUCCAGCCAGUAAUCUUGAAUUAAUAAUGACUUGUAUUUGUACAACUCAGGUUUACCCACCAUCAUCCCAUCUUACAUUUCCUUGUUUUUGGUUAUCUUUUGACAUGUGGCGAGUGGCA
rnacentral:lncRNA from 1 species